rnacentral:rRNA from 1 species
UACAGAGGGUGCAAGCGUUAAUCGGAAUUACUGGGCGUAAAGGGCGCGUAGGCGGCCUUCUAAGUCGGACGUGAAAUCCCUCGGCUUAACCGAGGAACUGCGUCCGAUACUGAAAGGCUUGAAUCCGGGAGAGGGAUGUGGAAUUCCAGGUGUAGCGGUGAAAUGCGUAGAUAUCUGGAGGAACACCGGUGGCGAAGGCGGCAUCCUGGACCGGCAUUGACGCUGAGGCGCGAAAGCUAGGGGAGCAAACGGG